rnacentral:rRNA from 1 species
GUGAACGCUGGCGGUAGGCCUAACACAUGCAAGUCGAACGGCAGCACAGUAAGAGCUUGCUCUUACGGGUGGCGAGUGGCGGACGGGUGAGGAAUACAUCGGAAUCUACUUUUUCGUGGGGGAUAACGUAGGGAAACUUACGCUAAUACCGCAUACGACCUACGGGUGAAAGCAGGGGAUCUUCGGACCUUGCGCGAUUGAAUGAGCCGAUGUCGGAUUAGCUAGUUGGCGGGGUAAAGGCCCACCGAGGCGACGAUCCGUAGCUGGUCUGAGAGGAUGAUCAGCCACACUGGAACUGAGACACGGUCCAGACUCCUACGGGAGGCAGCAGUGGGGAAUAUUGGACAAUGGGCGCAAGCCUGAUCCAGCCAUACCGCGUGGGUGAAGAAGGCCUUCGGGUUGUAAAGCCCUUUUGUUGGGAAAGAAAAGCAGCAGGUUAAUACCCCGCUGUUCUGACGGUACCCAAAGAAUAAGCACCGGCUAACUUCGUG